GUCCUGUAUCAGGAGACCUAACGUUACCUAGCAACCAAACUUUGGUCCUGUAUCAGGAUAGCUAACGGUUAGCUAACGUUAGUCUUUUAUCAGGACUAACGGCUAAGCUACCAAACUUGUAACAAGUGUUGUGGCAACAACUGAUGAAGUUAUGCCUCCGGGUUCCAACCACAUCCAUACUUCUCAGGAGCAGCCAGCCACAGCCCAUGACUUCAUCCAGCCCAUAAAUCCCCUGGGGCGUCUGUCUGGGAUCUGCCAGGCUCAUCAGUGUAGGAGAGGAGAAGGCUAACUGGGAGCCUGUACUGGCUGUAAAUCUGACCAUGGGAGGGAGGGGAACCUGCAGUGGCCACACUUCCACUGCAGCCCACUGCUGCUGUGAUUGCUGAAGGCCCAGACCAGUAACGGGCAGCUGGGACGCCAUGUGUUUGAACAGCCCCCAGACCUUUUACAUAAUAUCUCCGAUCAGCUCCCAGCAGCCCAGAAAAUCAGCGGUGAAGAAGGCAUCUAUUAGAGAGAAGAACCCAAAGCACCGAAGUAAGGAUUAAGAGAAGUCCAGUAAAAGUAGCUGCUGUUGCCCGUGAACUCUGGACCCACCAAUGGUUUCAUGCAAUCACCAUGAGGUGUGUGUGUUAUUGACCACGACAGACAGGUAGGACUUUUUGACGUCUCACACCAACACCAGUAAUCCGCAGCAAGCAGCCAUACUGUCUACACAGCGAGAGGAAGUGAUAAUACGACGUCGCCCACAAUAUAACGAUUAAAGGUAUGGCCGUUUUCUUCCUACUAUGGCAGCAGGACCUACGUGCACUUUGUUUUAUGACUGUUUAGCUCACAACAAACGCUGAACAGACAAAACUAACUUAAAGAAAUAUGAUGGAUAAUAUUUCUACUUCAUUUUUUUCAAAUUAUUAAGUAAAGGACAGCGGAUAUGAAGUUGAGAGAAAAAUAGGCCUGCUUUAAAUAUAGUUUAUAUAUUUAAACAUUUAAUAUUUAAGAACAUUAUAGCAGAAAUUAUAAUUUUGUCAAAGUUGUCUAGCAGUAUAUUACAUUUCUCAAACAACAUAAUGUAAUCAAACUAUAGCAGAAUAUGCAAUACAUUUUUUUUUCAAUGACAAUUUUUCUUUAAAAUGUACAUGAAUAUUUAAUUGUAAUUUAAAGUUUAUUUCUAAAUAAUACAUUUCAACAAUGGAUAACUACAGAAAUGUCCAUAUACGCAUAUUUAAAAUAGUUUUAAUUGUAGAAGAAAGUUUAUUUUUUAAAGUUUUUAUAGUUGUAAAUCUGGAAUUAUGUUCACUGCAAUAUACACAAGUUUAUUUUUUUUUUGUUUAAAUUGUAACCUAAAAUAAUGAAGUAGCAAACACGCCCGGGAUUAACACUUACUAUGCCUAACAAAGGACGACUCAGAAUAAACUCACUAAAGCAGACAGCAUCUUCUCAAAUAAUUGAAAUUAACAAAUAGAUAAACAUAACUUAAUGUUUGUAAACGCUGUGCACCCUCACCAGCUGCUGAUUUUAUCUUAAAAAUGUAUAAAAAGUUGCAUUGCAUUUGGUUGUGUGUGUGUGUGUGUGUGUGUGUGUGUGUGUGUGUGUGUGUGUGUGUGUGAGUGAGAGACUGUGUGAGUGGAGGCUGCAGGCUGCAGGCCGCUGUCAGCAGACACAUGAGACAGGGGGCUGAUAACCUCUGGUGGUGACCAGAGGAAAAUAUCAGGAAGUGCUGCAACUGUCUCUAAUUUGGGGAUAUUUGUUAAUACAAUUAAUUUGCUGUUUCAUUGUUAUGACUCAUUUGGCUUAGUGUUGGUGCUUUUUUUCCACUGCUUUUGACAGUAUUUAUGAAAUAUGAAAGUUGACAAUUCGUGUCACUUUAAUGCAAAAGUUUUUCUAACUGUUAAAGAUCUGCUAUAUAGUGAAUGGUGCAACAAAUACAGGAAGUUACAUCUGAAUCCUCGCUGGUCCUAAUCGUUGUCAUGUGUUUUUGUUAUGUGAUUGCUUAAUUUAAUAGUAAUAGAAUCCAGUCAUUUCUUUGUGAUUUGAUUCGGUCAGAUGUUGGAUUAUAUACGAUUAUGUGGAAAUCACAUGUCUGAGCAUAAAACAACAAAGAUAACCCCGAAUUUCAACUUUCAGUUUUUGAUUUAUUUAUGUAUUUAUUCUUCUUUUGAUGCCUCAUAUGAUAUACGGCUAUAACAAUAUAUAUUCCACACGUUUGACAGCGGUGUUGUUUGAAGAGACAAAUUGUGUUUAAGCGUUUUAAAAUUUUGAUCCCAUCUGACUGACAACAUGAGCCAAGUUUGUUUUGAAAAUUCACAAUUUAUUGAUCAUAAACACACAUUCCUAGUGGAUGAGCAGACUACAUUUAAUAUCUUCCUGAUCACGCACACACACACACACGCGCGC